GACAGAGGCCCCAAGCGUUAGGCGGAAUCACGGGGCUUAAAGCGUGUGUAGGCGGAUCGUUAAGUGUCUUGUGAAAUCCCACGGCUCACCCGUGGAACUGCUGGGCAUACUGGCGAUCUUGGGCCAACUAGGGGCAGCCGGAACAAGCGGUGGAGCGGUGAAAUGCGUAGAUAUCGCUUGGAACGCCGAAGGUGAAAACAGGCUGCUGGGGUUGUGCCGACGCUGAGACACGAAAGCCAGGGGAGCAAACGGG
rnacentral:rRNA from 1 species